rnacentral:rRNA from 1 species
AUUAUUAUAUAGCUUUAUUUUUUAUUUAUAUUAAUUUUAUUAGAAAUAACUUUUUUAUUAGUAAAUUUUAUUGAAAUUAUUAUUGUUAGUGAUAGUUUACAUUACUGUGAAGGAAUUUUUUUAAUUUUUUAUAAGCAAAUUUUGUUUAUUGUACCUUUUGUAUCAGGGUUUAUUAAAUUUAAAUUAAUUAUUAUUAAUUUUCCCGAAAUUAGAAGAGAUAUAUUUAAAUGAUAGUUUACGUAUUAAAGUAAUUUUUAAUUUAAAUAUAGAAGUUAUAUGCUAUUCAAUUUUAAAUAUCUGGUUGUCUAAUAAAUUAAUUUAAUUAAUAAUGCUAUAAGUUAAUUUAUAAAUUUAUUUUAUUUAAUUUUGGCAUUUAAAUUUAUAGGGGAUAAGCUCUAUAGGUUGUUUAUAACCAAUGAUCAUCCUUAAAUUUUUGUAGGCUUGAUAACAGCCAUCAUUUAUUUCGUUAUAGUUAAUCUUUUAAUUUAAUUUAUUUAUUAAUUGGUUUAAAUUUUUAUUAGAUUUUUAUUUUUAAUUUUUUAUUAUAAGUAAUAAUGAUAGAAUUAGUAGUUUUGAAUAUUUAAGUAUAGGAACUCGGCAAAAUUAAUUCUCGCCUGUUUAACAAAAACAUGUCCUUUAGAAAUAAUUAUUAAUAUAAUUAAAGGUCUGACCUGCCCGGUGAUAACUUAAACGGCCGCAGUAUUUUGACUGUGCGAAGGUAGCAUAAUCAUUUGUCUUUUAAUUUAAGGCUGGUAUGAAUGGUUGGACGAGGGAUUAACUUUCUUUAUUUAAAUUUUAUGAAUUUGAUUUUUUAGUUAAAAAGCUUAAAUUCUUUUGCAAGACGAGAAGACCCUAUAGAAUUUUAUUAUUUAUAUUUUAUUUGUUUUUUAGUUUAUUUUAAACUGAUAUAAUUUAAAUAAUUUUGUUGGGGCGACAAUGAAAAUUUAUUAACUUUCAUUUAUUUAGUUUCAUAAAUUAAUGUAUUUUUUGAUCCUAAAUUUUGGAUUAUAAGAUUAAAUUACCUUAGGGAUAACAGCGUAAUUUUUUUGGAGAGUUCAUAUCGAUGAAAAAGUUUGCGACCUCGAUGUUGGAUUAAAGAUAGUUUUUGGUGCAGCAACUUAAUAACUAAGUCUGUUCGACUUUUGAAUCUUUACAUGAUCUGAGUUCAGACCG